rnacentral:misc_RNA from 1 species
AACUCUCAACCCCCUUAUUUUGUAAUGAAAUAGGUGCGGGCUUGGUUCUGGCCGCUGCUGAUUCUAAUCGAAUCGACUCGGUUUAAAUAUACGAGCUGUUUCUUAAUUAAAGAUUCACUCGGCGUAAUAACAUUUUUUCGCUGGGCUUUAAAUUAGAACGCUUCUAAUGCGUAUGACACCUAUAU